UACAGGGGGCUCAAGCGUUAAUCGGAAUCACUGGGCUUAAAGGGUGCGUAGGCGGACGAGAAAGUGUUCUGUGAAAUCCCCCGGCUCAACCGGGGAAUGGCGGGGCAAACUUCUCGUCUUGAGGCAAGUAGAGGCUGUCGGAACGCUAGGUGGAGCGGUGAAAUGCGUAGAGAUCUAGCGGAACGCCGAAGGUGAAGACAGGCAGCUGGGCUUGUCCUGACGCUCAGGCACGAAAGCGUGGGGAGCAAACGGG
rnacentral:rRNA from 1 species